AGCGAGUAUAACGCGUGACGUCGUGCUCUGCUGUCAAUUUUUCUCGAAUAAUUAAAACGUGCGCGAGUUUACGACUUUUCACGUAUGUACGUUCGUAACUGUCCUACUGGUGACAUCCAAAAACUUAAACGAUUCGGCAGACUAUUGGCCGAUUGCAGAACAGAGGAUGUGAUUUCGGCGGAAGCAGCUCGGAGAAUCUGAAUCGAGCAGAAUCUCUUGGACGAUCUGACAGAGUUUGCGACCACGCGACAGAUGAUGCAGCUGCCGUACCGGAGGAUUCGGUUCGGGCCGUGUAACGUCGAUUCGAAGAUCUGGAUAGCGGAAUAGCCGACCCCGACUUCGACAACGAUUAGGUUGAUCAGUAGAAUGGAACUUUUCAAGGAUUUACGCACACGCAUGCGUGGCGUGGCGUCGAGGAAGGAAGGAAGGAAGCUAGAAGGGAAGGAGGGUCGACAGUAUCGGAGGUGAAUCUGGGCUGUGAUCGGGGUAGCGCAGGUGCAGGUGCUUCUAGAAACCGGCGACCAAGGGCGGCGAGGGGACCAGAGAGGGCAGCAAGGCGAGGGGUAUAAAGGGGCGUAAAGGAAGCGAAGGCAACGGGCCGCGACCUGCACGCGCCUCUGACGCGCCGAUGCCACCGAUAUCUUCUUCUUAAACUUUCCUAUCCGCUCAUUCAUGCCCGACUAAAUGCCUAUAAUUUCGGGUAUGAUUACAGGGCACCGUAACCAACGCCCCGUGGACUCAUGCUGCCCCGUUCAAGAGGAGAGAAAAAGAGACGGAGAGAGAGGAAAGGAGAGCUCGUUAUGCGAAGGGCCCGACGAAAUUGAAACGGAACGGGUCCCUUUCGACCGGCGGUCGUCCGCUCCUUUGGACGAACCUCGCUGUCUCGCUCCUUUGCGAAGGAAAGUAACCUGUAUAUAAUGACAUAUAAAUCCCUUCAAACCGAUCGAGCCGAUGACAGGUGGUCCCGCGUGAUUAUCGCUAAUUCGCCGUGGCUUGAACAAACAGAGAAAUCGCGUACGACUAUCCAGGUGCUUCCUCGGACGCUGCCUGUCGGCGAAAUGUCGACGAGCUCGCGAAUCGACCGUUUCUACCUCUUGCUCGCGCGAGAGCCUCUACUUCGGCCUCUCCUAAUUGCGAUCCGGUGGUAUAUACGACGUGUUCCGAGUCGAAUACUCAGGAGCGCGCACGAUUCGUUCGGAAGGGUGUGUCGGGGUCCCCUCGCGAGGAUGUUGGCGCAGUUGCAGCGACGAAUCGACUUACUUACUCGUGAAUUACCAAGCUCGUGGAGCUCUCUUCGCGAGUUAUACGUGUGAUCUUUUAAUCCCGAGGGAUAAGCAAUUUCGUGAGACCUCUCCCUCUCUCUCUCUCUCUCUCUCUCUCUCUCUCUCUCUCUCUCUCUCUCUCUCUUGGAGAGGUCAUUGAACUACGUGCUCGCCCGCGCGACUGUUUAUAGUAAACGGUUCAAGUGAGAUGAUACAGCCAGGAAAUUGUAGGAUAAAGAUCGGCGCGCGGAUCACAGCAUGGCGUCCGAUAAUAACGAUGUAAUUGAGAUGCUAAGAAAGUGAAGCCGCGAUGCGCGCGAUCGCCAUGAGCGGCGUAAUUAAAUAUACGUUCCUUGAGCCGCGUGUGUGACGUACGUGCCGCGAUCGUUUUCACGGAAUAAAAUCGCCGCGCCCCGCCGUAUCAUUAUGAUAAUGAUUUCCACACCGGAAUCCCCCCACCUUCUCCCCCUUCUCCCUCCCAUCUCUCCGCUCUGUCCUAUAUGUGUGUGGCGCGGUUUAUUAAAAAGAUAGCUCUCGCGCAAGAGUAUUACCGCGUUUACCCCUGCGGCCGUGCCGCGGAUAAAUGGGAUUCUUCGCCGGUGAGACGAGCCGAGCGCGAAAUGACAGACUGCGCCCCGUACAAAUACCGAAAUUGUCCGGUGGAUCGCGUACUUAAGUGAAACGUGAUUACACGUUCGCCGCUCGCGACGAAUCGGCGUAAGCGCGGAUUUAGCGCGUCCCCGUGGUAUUAUAAUUCGACAUGCGCCCAUCACAUUACGUCAAUUAAUGACCUUCUGCGCGAUGAUCGAGAAAUUUGCGUGAAAAGAGAACGAAAAAAUAAGAAUGUUGGUGCGUUGCGAUUACGGUGCGCCGUUGAUUCUCUUGCGAUUACGACAGACGCCGUCUCGCUCUCUGAUGAGCUGAUCACGAUGAGGUAAUCCCGCAAAGGUUUUGCAUAAGACACAGUCAUCUGUGCGCGUGAUAAAUAAACGAGAAUAAUAGAUGGGCGCCCUGUUGUACUUUUCAUCACAAUGUGACGCUUUGUAAUUUACGAGAAAUAAAGAGACAUUUGCGUGCGAGCGUUCUUUUCCCGCGCUUUUCUUCCUCGCAAACUCGGCUAAUGGACUCGUGUUUCGACCCUUAACUUCGUGCGCCGUGGCGGUGGGUCAAAGCGCAAUCACGCUCCGGUAUAUGAGGGAGCGUGUGUAAG